CGAGAGCUUCUGUACGGCAGAGCCUUUACCCUUGCGAACUCGAAAAAUCCCAUUUGGACGCAGAGCCGGUGGCUAAAGGAAGAAAUCACUCUUCUUCUUAUCUCCGCCUAUUUUACUGAUUUCUUUAAUUUAUUAUUCCGCCUUAGAUCGCCAUUAUCGCAGUGAUCGUUGUCUUCAUUUGAUCUCGAAGAGUUCCAAUUUCAAUCCGAUCGACUGUCCGCCGGUUAGUCCAUUGACUGAUCCGCGACUUCUCUCCUGUUGAAUUUUGCCCUACUUGUCGUCGCGGUGUCCGAUUUUGACGCGCUCGGGUUUCUUUUCGCCGAGGAAGAAGAAAUCCGAAUAUCGCGAAAGGGGAUAUACAUGAAUUGGUGGUAUUGAUUGUGUGUGUGAUGCAUCUAAUUAGAAGAAUUUUGUUGAUGUUCUGACUGAUAAGGGGCUUGGUGAAUGAGGAUGGGUUUGGAAUCUUCUGGUAAACUCCUCUGUUUUGCCAGAGGACUAAUGUAUCCGAUUCCGCUGGGCUGCCAGUCGACUCGGUGAUCUGUGAAUUGGAGCCGUGACACACAUAUAUCUUGUUAUAUCUAUUUGUACUGAUAGGAUAAGUAUAUUUAUCUGCAUAAAGGCGCGGGGACAAUGGACGAGGUCGGUACGAGUGAGGAAGGAAAAGCUCGACCUUCAGAGUUGGCAGUGGAUGAUAAAUCGGCGCCGUCAUUGGCGUCGCCGGCGGUACGGUGGCGUCCAAGCCAGUUUCUUUUUUCUCCCUAUUCUCCCCCGCUUGAUGCUGAGGCGAGGCCCCAAACUUUGCGUGUCGUUGUUAAAAAGCCUUUGGUGGCUAGAUUAACGAAGGACAUUGUUGAAACAUACAAAAUAUGCAACCCACAAUUUCACUAUUCAGAAGAAUUGAAUCCAAAGCGAUUCUUGACAACCCCAUCUGUUGGAGUGCUCAAUGAUGGCCAUGACAAUGCCAAUUCAGAUCUUAUACUCUCUGUGAACUUUGUCUUGGUUAAUAUGGACACAAAACAGAGAUACAUUGUCAAAGAUAUUCUUGGUCAUGGGACAUUUGGGCAGGUUGCUAAAUGCUUGGUUUCCGACACAAACAGUUUUGUUGCUGUAAAAAUCAUUAAAAAUCAACCUGCAUACUAUCAACAGGCAUGGGUUGAAGUAUCUGUUCUGACAUCGUUGAAUAGGAAGUUUGAUCCUGAGGAUAAGCAUCACAUCGUUCGCAUUUAUGAUUAUUUUGUGUUUCAUCGCCAUUUAUGCAUUGCGUUUGAGCUGCUUGAUAUUAAUCUGUAUGAGCUUAUCAAGAUAAAUCAUUUUAGGGGAUUAUCACUGAGCAUUGUCCAGCUGUUCUCCAAACAGAUUUUGCGAGGAUUGUCUCUGAUGAAAGAUGCUGGCAUAAUUCAUUGUGAUUUGAAACCCGAAAACAUUCUUUUAUGCACAAGUGUGAAGCCAGCAGAAAUCAAGAUAAUCGACUUUGGAUCAGCAUGCAUGGAAGAUCGGACUGUUUACUCCUAUAUUCAGAGCCGCUACUAUAGAUCACCCGAAGUGCUGCUUGGCUAUCAGUAUACUACUGCUAUUGACAUGUGGUCUUUUGGGUGCAUAGUUGCUGAAUUGUUUCUGGGGUUGCCUCUAUUCCCUGGGGCAUCAGAAUUUGAUCUUCUAAGGCGGAUGAUAAAAAUACUUGGAGGACAACCUCCUGAUUAUGUAUUAAGAGAUGCCAAAAACACAAGCAAGUUUUUCAAGUUUGUUGGGAAUGUCAACCAUGAGUCUAUGAGCAGACGGAGUGCUUACCAAGCAUUAACAGAAGAAGAGUAUGAAGCUAGGGAGUUGAAAAAGCCAUCAAUUGGAAAGGAGUAUUUCAAUUAUAUGAACCUUGAAGCAAUUGUCACAAAAUAUCCUUACAGGAAGAACUUGCCUGACGAAGAUAUUGUUAAAGAGAGUCAAAUACGAUUAGCAUUGAUUGAUUUCUUGAGGGGACUAGUUGAGUUUGACCCAGCAAAGCGUUGGUCACCUAUGCAGGCUUCAAAACACCCUUUUGUUACAGGUGAACCUUUUACAUGCCCAUUCAGACCUCCUCCAGAGACCCCUCGUAUGCCUGUUUCUCAAAACAUAAAAGUGGAUCAUCACCCAGCUGGAGGCCAUUGGUUUGCUGCUGGACUCUCUCCUAAUGUUUCCAGCAGGACCAGAAUUGCACUGCAUAACAGCCCACAUUUUCAAGUUUUGCCAUAUGGAUAUUCAGCCAGUUAUGGCAGUUUAGGUAGCCAUGGAAGCUAUAACGAUGGUGCUGGUUUUGGUAGCAGCUAUGGAAGCUAUGGAGAUAACAAUAAUAUGCUGGCAUACUAUUCUCCUGUUGGCCCGUCUGGGAUGAAGGGUGCUGUGUCAAUACUCGGGAGUAGUCCUGACACAAGACGAAGGAUUAUCCAAUUCCCACCCGGAAAUGGACUUGGUGUAAGUCCAUCUGCUGGAAAUUUUGCACCUAUGUCCCUGGGGAGCAGUCCUUCGCAAUUUACGCCUCCAAACUCCUAUAGUCAGGUUUCAGCUGGUUCUCCAGGACACUAUGGACCAACUUCACCAGCAAGAGGCACUUGUCAUGGGUCACCUUUAGGAAAAAUGGCUCCAGCCAGCCAGUUUAAUAGAAGAAAAAAUUUGGGGUAUUCUGGAAGUUUGCAUACCCAGGAGAGUUUGGCAUCUCAUCAGUGGCAAGGGCAAGUAACGGAUGGUGCUGGCCCUGGUCAAUCUGAGGGAAACUCUCCUGUAGUUGGUACUUUUCCAUUGCAUCUGCCAUCAAACUCAAAUGUCUCAAGCUGGAAGCAGCAACGAGGAGGCAGUGGAGUCCCUUCUGGUUACUCUGCUACUCAUAAUAUUCCAGGUGCAUUAACACAUCCAAAUAUGCAAUUCUCCCAACCCAUGGAAGCUGUUCAAGAUAAGCCUGAGACCGGUCUCUCAUUGCCUGAUCCUGGAGAUUGGGAUCCAAACUAUAGUGAAGAACUUCUUCUACAAGAGGAUGGUUCAGAUGUGACCUUUAUGACCAAUGAAUUCAGUAGGGGAAUGCAACUGGGCCAAGCUUUGAUUCCUGCAGAUUCAUUGGUUUGUGUCAGAAGGCCUAACCACUUCAGCACUAGUGUAUCAACACAAAGGCCGCUUAUUCCUGCCUUUUCUACCGGGGAAGUCAACAACCCUCCUUCAGGCCAUGAUGUGCAUUUUGGGUAUAUCCGCCCCAUGACAAAGCAUUCACAUUUCAUGCCUCACUUGCUGCAAAGUUCUCCAAGCCGUCUGGGUCAGCAACCUGUUCAGCGGUCCAAUCAUGGGAGAUAUUCAGCUGUUCGUGGCAGUGAAUGGAACCAAAUUAAGGUGCAGCAGCCAGGUGCUUCCAGCCUCAACUCUGGAGGUCCUCGUUCACCAGGGAGUAGUAGAUUAUUCAGCAAUGGUACAUCAUGGGGUACUCGACCAAAUCCACCUUUUUUCUGAGCCACUACAAUUUCUUACUAAAAUCCUGUACUAUCAAUGAAUAUAUUCUAUUUAGAGGGCGAAGGGGCAACCAUCCCAUCCCUGACCUUCCACCAACUCGUGGAAGAAAAGACUAAGGAAGCAUGACGAUGCCGCUGCUGCUGCCGCCGCAAGUAGCUUAAUUUUCUAUCUCAAGGGGCUCUGCAAGAAAAGUUGUACAAAUAGUUGCAAAUCCAAAUCAUUCUCAUUCAUCGUGGUCACAUAAAUUUAAUAUAUGAUUGUGGUUUGGUUUUUAUGGUUUUUCGUCAUAUUUUGGUAGUGAGUAGCCAUGGCAAUAAUUGCCGCCUCAAAGCCAAAAUUUUGAUUCGCUACCAUUAUUGGUACAGUUGGUGAAAUUUAAUCAGGCUGCAGGAAGAAAAAUAUCCACUACAAAGAAGUCCAGGUGAUGAUGAUGGCUGGACCAUCAUGUGUUGUUCUAUUGCAACAGUGUGGGAAGCUGUGAUUCAAACGGGGUUAAGAGAAGUUGUAAACCAAGAAGGGGACAUAGAAUUGCGAUUAUUUGAUUCAAUAUGAUCGGCAAUGCAUUUUGCCCUUUUAUUUUCACUGCAUUCA